rnacentral:rRNA from 1 species
CUAGGCUUGACAUCCCACGACAACCGUAGAAAUACGGCUUUGUAGCAAUACACGUGGAGACAGGUGCUGCAUGGCUGUCGUCAGCUCGUGUUGUGAAAUGUUGGGUUAAGUCCCGCAACGAGCGCAACCCCUGGAUUUAGUUGCCAGCAUUAAGUUGGGCACUCUAAAUUAACUGCCAGCGUUAAGCUGGAGGAAGGUGGGGAUGACGUCAAGUCCUCAUGGCCCUUACGCCUAGGGCUACACACGUAAUACAAUGGAUAGGACAAAGGGUCGCGAACUCGCGAGAGGGAGCUAAUCUCAAAAACCUAUCCUCAGUUCGGAUUGGAGGCUGCAAUUCGCCUCCAUGAAGGCGGAAUCGCUAGUAAUCGUGGAUCAGAACGCCACGGUGAAUACGUUCCCGGGCCUUGUACACACCGCCCGUCACACCAUGGGAGUUGACUCAACCAGAAGUCGCUGUCGCCAACCGCAGGGGGGCAGGCGCCGAAGGUGGGGUUAAUGACUGGGGUG